rnacentral:rRNA from 1 species
AAUAGAUACCCGGGUAGUCCAUGCCGUAAACGAUGUCUACUAGCCGUUGGGGCCCUUGAGGCUUUAGUGGCGCAGCUAACGCGAUAAGUAGACCGCCUGGGGAGUACGGUCGCAAGACUAAAACUCAAAUGAAUUGACGGGGGCCCGCACAAGCGGUGGAGCAUGUGGUUUAAUUCGAUGCAACGCGAAGAACCUUACCUGGCCUUGACAUACAGAGAACUUUCCAGAGAUGGAUUGAUGCCUUCGGGAACUCUGAUACAGGUGCUGCAUGGCUGUCGUCAGCUCGUGUCGUGAGAUGUUGGGUUAAGUCCCGCAACGAGCGCAACCCUUUUCCUAUUUGCCAGCACUUCGGGUGGGAACUUUAAGGAUACUGCCAGUGACGAACUGGAGGAAGGCGGGGACGACGUCAAGUCAUCAUGGCCCUUACGGCCAGGGCUACACACGUGCUACAAUGGUCGGUACAAAGGGUUGCUACUGGCGCGAGCAGAUGCUAAUCUCAAAAAGCCGAUCGUAGUCCGGAUCGC